CCAGAGGGGAAAGAUCCUACCAAGAGAGAAGGACCCACCCUGCCCCAAGCUGCUUCAGGUGUUUUUCUUUCUCUAAGCAGUUUUUGCCACGGCCGCAGACUGGCACCAUUACUUUUUGCACUGCCUGUUCCCUUUGGCUCACCCCACAGACCAAGCGAGAGCCUGCAGUCUGCUACUGCUGGCUGGUCUCUCACCACACACGGAAACUUGUGUCAUCAAAGAUACAUCUUAUACACAGGAAAACUAGAGUGAAGUGGAAAUUGAGAUCAGAUUUUAAAAAUUUGCAUCACUGUGCUGCAUAAGGGCAGUCCCUAGAGAAGCUAUGAAGUGUCAUCAUCUUGUAAAAGCAUGGAAUUUACGAACUGUAUUCAAAUAUUGGCAACACAUACUGGCUCAAAGUCAUGAAAUUUGGAGAGCACAAGCAAAGCAUAUCCAAAAGGAACAGACCCUAAUAUCAGAUACUGUAAAAGUGCAGAAUGAGACAAAUACAAAGGGACGUAAAAUAUCUCAGACACAUUAAAGAAGAAACAAUUGAUCAACCGGAUAGGAAAACUGCAAAAUCAACACAAUAAAUGCAGUAACUUUAAAAUAA